rnacentral:rRNA from 1 species
GGCGCGAAAGCCAGGGGGAGCGAACGGAUUAGAUACCCCGGGUAGUCCUGGCCCGUAAACGAUGGGUACUAGGUGUAGGAGGUAUUGACCCCUUCUGUGCCGGAGUUAACGCAAUAAGUACCCCGCCUGGGGAGUACGACCGCAAGGUUGAAACUCAAAGGAAUUGACGGGGGCCCGCACAAGCGGUGGAGUAUGUGGUUUAAUUCGACGCAACGCGAAGAACCUUACCAGGUCUUGACAUUGAUGGACAGAACUAGAGAUAGUUCCUCUUCUUCGGAAGCCAGAAAACAGGUGGUGCACGGUUGUCGUCAGCUCGUGUCGUGAGAUGUUGGGUUAAGUCCCGCAACGAGCGCAACCCCUAUCUUAUGUUGCCAGCACUUUGGGUGGGAACUCAUGAGAGACUGCCGCAGACAAUGCGGAGGAAGGCGGGGAUGACGUCAAAUCAUCAUGCCCCUUAUGACCUGGGCUACACACGUACUACAAUGGGAGUUAAUAGACGGAAGCGAGAUCGCGAGAUGGAGCAAACCCGAGAAACACUCUCUCAGUUCGGAUCGUAGGCUGCAACUCGCCUACGUGAAGUCGGAAUCGCUAGUAAUCGCAGGUCAGCAUACUGCGGUGAAUACGUUCCCGGGCCUUGUACACACCGCCCGUCACACCACGAAAGUCGGAAGUGCCCAAAACCGGUGGGGUAACCUUCGGGAGCCAGCCGUCUAAGGUAAUGUCUAUAUUGGGGUGAAGUCGUAACAAGGUAGCCG